rnacentral:rRNA from 1 species
GUAUGUUGUUAAAUCCCCUAAAGGCACCAGAUCCUACUUGAUCUUCAUAGCUAAACACGGUCACCUCGGGUUAGUACUGGGAUGGGAGACCACCAAUAAAUACCAGGUGCCGUAGGCU